GGGGAUAUAGCUCAGUUGGUAGAGUGCUUGCUUAGCAUGCACAAGGCCCUGGGUUCAAUCCCCAGUACCACAA
rnacentral:tRNA from 1 species